rnacentral:rRNA from 1 species
UACAGAGGGGGCAAGCGUUAUUCGGAAUUACUGGGCGUAAGGGGCGCGUAGGCGGUUCGCUAAGUUGAAUGUGAAAACUCUGGGCUUAACCCAGAGCCUGCAUUCAAUACUGGCGGGCUAGAGUUCUGGAGGGGAUAGCGGAAUUCCUGGUGUAGCGGUGAAAUGCGUAGAUAUCAGGAGGAACACCGGUGGCGAAGGCGGCUAUCUGGACAGAGUCUGACGCUGAGGCGCGAAAGCGUGGGGAGCGAACAGG